rnacentral:rRNA from 1 species
AACAGGAUUAGAUACCCUGGUAGUCCACGCCGUAAACGAUGUCGACUUGGAGGUUGUGCCCUUGAGGCGUGGCUUCCGGAGCUAACGCGUUAAGUCGACCGCCUGGGGAGUACGGCCGCAAGGUUAAAACUCAAAUGAAUUGACGGGGGCCCGCACAAGCGGUGGAGCAUGUGGUUUAAUUCGAUGCAACGCGAAGAACCUUACCUACUCUUGACAUCCAGAGAACUUAGCAGAGAUGCUUUGGUGCCUUCGGGAACUCUGAGACAGGUGCUGCAUGGCUGUCGUCAGCUCGUGUUGUGAAAUGUUGGGUUAAGUCCCGCAACGAGCGCAACCCUUAUCCUUUGUUGCCAGCGGUUAGGCCGGGAACUCAAAGGAGACUGCCAGUGAUAAACUGGAGGAAGGUGGGGAUGACGUCAAGUCAUCAUGGCCCUUACGAGUAGGGCUACACACGUGCUACAAUGGCGCAUACAAAGAGAAGCGACCUCGCGGGAGCAAGCGGACCUCAUAAAGUGCGUCGUAGUCCGGAUUGGAGUCUGCAACUCGACUCCAUGAAGUCGGAAUCGCUAGUAAUCGUGGAUCAGAAUGCCACGGUGAAUACGUUCCCGGGCCUUGUACACACCGCCCGUCACACCAUGGGAGUGGGUUGCAAAAGAAGUAGGUAGCUUAACCUUCGGGAGGGCGCUUACCACUUUGUGAUUCAUGACUGGGGUGAAGUCGUAACAAGGUAACC